UCUAGCGAUAUCCAUUUUGCUGGAGUAUGACGUCGUUCGCAUGGCAACGCAUCACAGCAAUCGAUGGACACGUUGCACUGGCAGCAGUUGUCAGAUGUUCAGCCGAACUGUGUGCCUCGUGGAUCCUUCUGUUUGGAGGAAGUUUAGGUGUAAUUCUUGAAGAGAACGUACAUCCCGCAUCCUGUUUUGAUUAAGUCCAAGGAGCCCAGGAAAUGAAGAUCGCACGGAGGAGCUGCAACCGUUUCCUGUGCUCUGGUUGUUCCGCGGCUUGGAAGGAAAACGCAACAUUUACGCCCCUAGAGAGCUGCAGAGCAGCUUGUCGCAACGAUUCCCAGAUGUGUAUGUGUGUGGAUUGGGAGGGUUGCGUGGAGUGACGGAAUGUGUCAAGGGUUGGCCAUGGUGGAGCGAAAGGAAGGAUGUUUUUCCUUCACGGUUAUAGCUCUUGCAGCAGGUUCGGACUGGCCAUGAAUGGAUUCAAUUGUGUCCGGGUACGAUUGUGUGGACGAUGAACGAUUCACAGGCCCGUUAUAUGUAGAGUUGCAACUAUUUUAAAUGUUGUGUAAAGUCAUACCCCAAAACUGUUAGGUUAAGAAGAUCCAUAAACUUCAGAAAAUAUUGAUUUAAUUUGUCUCCGCAAUCGACUUCCGUUAGCGUGCCUCACCUUCAUUAAGGAUACCCCGGCCUUUCGUUGCCUAAUAGCCCUCAUUACCCUGUCCUUCAGGUGAAUUUGACUCGUAGCGCGUUAAUGAACCGAUUACCAUCCUUUCCCCACUUAUCCGUCCGUCCGUCUUGUUGUUGUUGUUGUUAGCGACUUCCACCCAACGCGUCAUUCUAAUCGCUUCCUUAUCCAGACCAAAGCGUAAUGAUUCUAAAUGAUUCUACAUUCUGUGUGACUAAUGCGAUUUUGAAAGGCGAUUUGGAUUUGCAAAUGCAAAUAUUUGCAAAUGGUGUCGAUGUGCCUUCGGCGCUCAUGGAGGUCGGUCUGGAUGAAUUUUGUCCCACGAAAAAAAAGGUUCUUUAGAAGGGUGUACGUAUUUUUUGUUGUGUGUGGAGUCGACCAUGACUUCAUCAUCUUAACGAAACGCACACAGACAUAUCUGAAAGUCAUCAAGAGUGACGCAAAUGCGCUGGACUGGCUACGAGGACCUAGGUGACUCAUCCUUUCUGGUACGAAUUUCGUACGAAAGUGUGCACGGUAGGCCUUAAAAAUAGUCGUCUCAAGUAAUAAUAUGCAAAUCCAUCUGCGAAUUAUGGCUUCGUCAAAGCUAGGAGGGAUUCGAAUCUUAGCCAUAAGAGUCUGGCGGUGAUUCUUCGACGAUUGCUAUUAGCAACGUGUUAGCAGUGACUUAAUCUGGGCACCUGUUAUUGAAGGACAUAGGACAAUGUUUUCUGCCAUUCAACUACAGUGGCCCUGUUGAGCGUCUGGUGCAUCAAAAUACAGGAUACAGAAAUAAAACAUGGUGUCGCAACGGCGGAGCACCGAGUACGGGACGAGUGUACACUACCAGAACGAGAUGCUGACCGGGGUGCCAUUGUCCUGUUGGUAGAAGUGAUGUAGGUAGUAUAGUGUGGCUAGUAGCGGACUCUCACUCGGCGAUUUUGCUUCAAUCCAUCCACACGGCCUUUCGGUGCCAGAGAACGUGGCUUAUCUUGUGCAAGCCGAAUGGUGCGCCCCGUGACGUUGUGUUUAAUUUAAUCGUCCCGCUGUCGUUUUUCACUUCGUACAGUGCGCUUGAAGAUCUCCUGACGCGUCUUAACAAGGAAGAAAGGGAACAAGAAACUAAAAUGUACUCUCCCCAUCGCAACAUCCCGUCUCGUACGGGGUAACCGGAAAGGAAAGCGUUACCGCUUAUUUGCGCGUGUCUCUGCAGUCUGUUUGCGAUGAUCCGUGGACUUUCCGUCCCGUGUGCUCAUCUGCUUUGUGAUGUUGCGCAUGCGCACAUUUCUGAUAAGCAAUCUCUACAGUCACUGCUGUCGUCAGGUUCGCUCGCCGUGAAUCCUCCCCAAUCUGCUGUACGGAUUCUCGCGCGGCGAGUUGUAUUUGUGUGGAUUCGAAACAGUUUCAACGCAAGCGAUCGUUUGCGCAUGAGUAUUUGUACGUGUCCUGCCAGAAUUACGAUCCCAAGGGGGGAGCUCUACGGGCAUGGGAGUUUUAUAUUUAACACAACGAUUUAUGCUGAUGCCGCCGAGAGUGAGAUGAGAAAUUCUGGUGAGUGUGAGAUGCGGUAAGAUGCAUUACCCAUCGUCUACGAUCGGUAUGUUGGUACAAUAAGGAUGUUGAAGAAUUGUUGGCAAGAUCAGCUAAGAAUAUAAAACUAUCCUCUUAAGAGACUUUCUAGAUAUUUAAGAGACCUCACAAAAUACGAGUUCAGGAUGUUCCUUUACACACUACUCACCGUUUAAAAUACCGAUCAAAAGCAAGACCCGAUGGGACACAGGUCUUCCCGGCCGAGCACGGAUACCGACCACGAAACAAAGAUGAUUGCUCAUUUGUGUUUUAUUUUUAAACCCUCUGCGACCUCCCCUUCUGCGAUCGUUUUCGAAGCGAAAGGACCAACAGCAAAGCGAACGCCAAGACGUUGCCCAACUCUUGAAAAAGGAAGAAUGAGCGAAAUGAAAAAAAAAGAAGGAAAUCCCGCUGCUUGCUUGCCAAAGCAAUCCGUGCCACUUUCGCAAAAGGACAAAACCGAACAGACUCCACCGUAAAGGAGCCAAGCAGCGUCCGACAGGUCCUUGGGGGUUACUGAGUGAAGCACGCGUGUGGAGAAAAGUGGCACGGUAAUGGGCGAGAACAACAAAAAGGAGCCUACCAUCCUUGAAGCGUGCUUGAAUGGAAGUCGAAAAGGGCUUCGAAGGUUGAAUUGGAAACGGGGAAGCAAAAGCAAGAAACCAGCCAGCUCCACACCGAAAAGACACGGGACGAUACUUUGAAAUGAAUCGCGCUAAAAGGGGGAUGCAUUGAGAUUUUCCUUCCCAUUACCUCCCUUUUUCUGUGCGCUCUACUUCGAUCGUUUCGCUUCGCUCGGCUCUGCUCUGGCGUCAUCUUGUGUGCCGAAAAAGGCAAAAGUUAUUUUUGAAGGAUCCACAGACAAAAGGCACACACAGGGACUCCAUUUCUUUUGGUUUGUGUAUUGUUUUCUUGUUUUGGAUGGUUGAAAAAAAAAAGACGCUUGUUGGCUCUUUAUUUUCACCGUUUCUGAUGAUGAAAAAUGAUACUCCCGGCAGCGGGCACAAAUGAACACGCUUUCAUUCAAAUCGUACGCCCAGCAAUCCUCGCCGCCUCAUCUUUCCCGGGGCAAAUCGGUAUGAAAUCUGCGGGGACACACAGCGUUAUUAAUGAACUGAAUUAUGGCACAUGAAUAAUUAUUGAACACGGAUUCGUAUCGUUUGUUCAGAUUGCUUCUAAAGUAUUAUGGAGGUGUUGCUGCAAUGCAACCAGGUUUAAUUAGCUGACUAGUUUGAGUAUCCUCAACCACUUCAGAAGCAACUUUGAGUGACCCUUCCAACUUCCGAAUAUCCUACCAUAAGUCCACGACCAUAUCCUUUUUGAGUGUUCUCAGUAAACAAUUUACUAAUUAACAAGCUCGAUACGGCUCUCGAAAUAUUUUGAACCCACUGCACAGAGACCUAUAACCACCAAAAAACGUGUAAAGAAACAACGAAGCAAUAAAUGUAAACGUGGUCUCCGCAACGUGGGGGAAAGAAAGCAACAAGGGUGAAGAAAAAGGCAAGUCAACAACACAUCCCCAGCAUGGGAGGACACACACCGAAGAACAGCGAUGAGAUAAAAAUGAAGAACGCCGAGAAGGUUAUAAAAAUACAUAAAAUAACGCGCCAAAGGAUGAACAACAAGGAACAAGUGGGAAUGAAACAGCCGUACUAACCAAAA